rnacentral:misc_RNA from 1 species
CUCACCACGUCUGUCAUCAUUCCGCCGCCCCUCCCCCUCCCUCGACGGCUAGCCGGCUCUUCUACGUGUGCAACGCUUGUUAUCGCUGCCCCCUACCCUUCCUCCCCGCAUAUACUGUCCAACGCCUCUCUCCUGCUUCUCCAUCACCACUUUAUCGGUGCACCCUUACAAAUGCAUAACGCGUGAGCAGUGCUCACACAGCGCGUGCCAUCUUUCUGCACACUUGUUUUUUUUUUCGUGUGUGUGUAUGUGUGUCUGCCUUUGUGCAGUUUUGUUUCAAUGGAUGUGCACUCACCGACAACGUGUGCGUGUGAUGCUGUGUUCUCGAGGUGUUUUCCUUAUGCUUUUCCAUUCCUCCUCCUGUAUCGAUGUGCCUCUAUCACUCUUUCUCCUCUUUUUAUCGGUGAUUCCAUCGACGCCGCUCUACCCCACGCCACGCCACUCGCUCCCUUUCUCGCCUUCCCUUUCAGCGCACCUUUCUUCGCCUCACCUACACCGCGUUCCAUCGACCAUCAACACUCACGCACAACACACAGACAAGCACACGACCUCCGGUGGGGGGGGGGGGGCUCCCCGCAUACAGAACGAAAAACAGUAAGAGUUCCAAGAGGAUCAGAAACCCGAUCAUCCAGAGCACAAGGGCUAACAAAGUCAGGUCAGACGGUGUUAUCGUCAUCUCUGCUCCCCGCGUUGUGGUUGUCGUCGCCGCCGCAGUCCUGAUGGAGCUUCUUUCGGGCUGCGGUACCGCCCUCUUCUGCCUUUGCUGCGCUGAGGUCAGCGACACGCUUGACGAUGGCUCUGAACGUGCGAGUGCAGGUCAGUAGCAGCAGCACAAACCCGGAGACGCUGGCGGCAGCGAAUGGGAACGCGACCCACUGCAUAUAGAGAAGCCACCAUUAUCACGGUGGACAGCGGUGUCAAUGGUGAUCAAGGCAAGCAGAGUGCGCGCGGUCAGAGCACAACGGAAGCAUGGGCAAGCCGUACUUUGCAGGAGCCCGAUGCCGUCUCCGUGGCUGAGCCGGGCACCUCCGUUUACACUUACCGUCUGGCGGGCGAUGGAGGAGAGGAAGAUCCGUCUGCGUCAGUUCCGCUUGCGGGCUCUUGCCUCCAAGCCUCUACGCUUCAAGUGGAAACACCUGCUGCAUCUGCUGCUACAGUGGUGGUCAUGAUCGCCUCUCUACAGGGAGGCCCCAUGUGCAUCGGCUUCUCUGCCAAACCACCGCCGCACCUUGCACUCGACAGAGACGCAGCGGUGCCUGAACCCGACACGGCACCUGCCUAACUUGUGGUGCACCGCGGCAGGACACGCGUGUGCGAGCAGUCGCUGUGGCGAAAGAGGGUGCAAUUAUGGACGCGUCUCGGCGCGCUCUCGCUCAUCACCGCCACCAACUUCCCCUUCUUGUGCUUUCUUCGUUUCUCUGUCGAUGUGCCUUGCGUGCAUUCUGGCAUUCGUAUGUGCCUGAUGUGAAAGCACGGCUUCGUAAGCCUGCCGUUAUGGUGCCAUAGUGGAAGAGCUGCUGGCAACCACUCGGUCUCGUGUGUGUGCAUGUGUCUGCCCUCGACGUCCUCUCGUCACCACACAGCCCCAUUACCACCACCACCACCUCCCUCUCUCUCUCAACGACCCUGUUGUCGUGUUCCUUUGUUUUCUCGGCCUUGUCGUGUUUUGCUUCUUCCGUCGCUUCGCACCUCAGCUAUACCGCAUGUGUAUGUGAGUAUGUGUGUAGGAGGAGGGGGGAUGGCACUACUACGCAUUCCCUUUUUUUUUCGCGUGUGUGUGUGUGUGUGUGUGUGUGGGUUGUUCGUCGUGGUUCACACGCGCACCCACGUGCGUGCAUUGAUGUGUAUCGGUGUACGUGUUUUGUGUGCAUUGCGUGAGUGUGAGACUGCUCUCGUUUGCAUGAUGCUUCCCGUCCGCCUCUGCAGAACCUAAUACACACCCCUCAGACAUCUAAAACAAAAAUAGUUGGAAGUGUCACUGAAGGUGUCGAUGCCGAUUUCGCUUGCAUGCGUGUGUGUGCCGCUCGGGUAUUCGAGUGUCCGUCAGCGGGAAAGAGAUCUCUUGAUAGCAAAAUAUGCUUCGUCACAGGAGUGAGGGAACGCAUUUGUCUCUUUUCUUUCUGCUUGUUUGCUUCGUUGUGUCGAUUUCCGCCUUGGCGGAGCAACGUCCGAUUUCUGACUAGUGCCUCACGACAUAUUCCUUUCCAAUCUCUUUGCUUGUGUAUGCGGGCGCCUGUGACCUGGCACGUGCACUUACUUGCUCUUCACAUAUGUAUAUAUGCUGUGGAUGCCGUGUGUCAUGCGUGCGCGUGGGCGUGUAGGCGAAUGCAAAGGAGGUGAGCAUCAUGCAGCAAGCGGAUGUGAAGGGAUGCAAACUGCCAACAAUACGGCCGGCGUGACACGGGGCUGCUGUGGUGCAUCGCAAUUCCGACUCGAAAUCUAAACACUUAUUCCAAAAGCGUUGCAUCGCCUUGCUUUCUUUGUUUUUUCUCGUCUCUUCUUUGUUUUUCUUUCCGUUUUUGCCGCACCUCCAUCAAAGCCUUCUCUCUUGAUUCCCGUCUCUGUUCGAAGUAACGGUCCUCCCGACCCCACCCAUUCUUGACUGCCUGAAGAUCGCUUUCUCUCUCACACUCAUGCACGGAGCACGUACACAUGUUGUCUUUUUUCCCUCGUGCCCCUCAAUGCCCUGUCUUUUAUUAUUAUUAGCAUUAUUAGUUGCUCCCUUUCGCGGCUCCGUUCGGCGUUUCCUUUUGGUCUGACCCCGCCUCCCCUCGCCUCGGUUGUCUCCCUCUCUACGCAUACAUCAUGUAUGUAUAUAUGUAUACAUAUAUACAUCGUGCGCGUGUGCCUUUCGGAUUCUUGCGGUGCGGCUUCUCGCCUCUCCCUCCUCGCGCCUCUCCCUCUCCUCUUGCUCUUACGCCUUUCUUUCUGCCCCCCCCCCUUCCAUUCUCCUCAGCACGACUCCCGUGUUGUAUCGCGUGUGUGGGUAGUUUCUCUUCUUUGGUGUGCAAUACGUCCUCUCCCUCCCCUGGCGGCCUUUUCCCUCUUAUGGAGGGCUCUCUAUACUCCCUUCUACGCCACCCCCUAUAGACGUACGCACUCACUCGCGCGCGUUCGCUUGAUGCGCCUUUUCUUCUCUCUCUCCUGCUAUACUCUGGUGUGCGUUGGCUCGUUUUUCACUGUUUUUCAGGCACGAAGGAAAGACGGGAGGGUGUGCAGGCAAUCGAUGUGAGCGCGAGUCUCCCUUCCUUUUUCUGCAGCUGCAGAGACCUCAUUUUCUUGUUGAAUGCCGCUAAGGAACCCCAAUGUCAAUCCACAGCUGCAGCUCUGCCAGGCGGGCCAUGCCCUACCUCCCCCCUCUCUCUCUCUUCACUGUCACUGUCAUCGCCACUGUGGCGCGAAGAGUGAAAACCGAAAGAUGCAGUGCGCCGUUAGUCACCACAUAAACGUGUAUCUUUUUUUUUCCAGCUCUCACCUCUCCCCAACGUCCUCUCCGAGGAAGGGCACCGCUCCCUUAGCAGCUCUUGCCACCUCCCGCCAGUCCACUUGCGAUGUAACGGAUCUUCGUUUGGCCGUGUCUGUGCGCAUGACGGUUUCUCUGUGUAUCUUUUACUUUUUCUUUGUGUUCGUUUUGGGCCCCUUUUGGGGCGUUGCCCGGUUGUGUGCACGUUGGCAUUACGCUGGGCUCCCUCUCGCCUCAGCCUUCUCUCUCUUCGUGUGGACAUGGGCAGCUCGUCGAACAAGGCGCGUCACCACUGUGAAGGGGGAUGGUGCGCAACUAUAUUUCUUCAUGUGAGCAUGCGAUGGGUGUACGUGGCGCUGGUCCCAUGGCGUGGCCUCGACACCUUUCCGUACCUUGAGACAGCAAGGGGGGUAGCAGCGAGGAGGCGGGGGAAAAAAAAACGAAGGCGAGGUGUUGACGCAACGUCCUCUUUGCAUCGAUUUCGAUGUGCGUUUCUCUCUGUCUUUCGCGGACUGUGCGCUUCCUCCGCCCCCACACAACCCACACCCCACCGGCUACCCUUUUCUCUCGAUCAG